CUUCCGAACACUCAUUUUAUCAUCCCUUUUUUAUAGAAAGACUCUAAUUGAGUUAAAGGAGCUUUAAAGAACAGUUCAAGUAUCCUUUUGAUAAGGGUUUGUCCGCCCUUGAGUUUCUCCGUAAGGUACUCUAUUAGUAAUGCAUGAUGAUUGAUAAACACUAAGUUGAAACUUAGAUGUUGAUUUUGGUGAUAGAAGUAUAUUAGCUCGAGGAUAGUAAUGCGAGAUUUAUGAGGGUAGAUUGGUAGGCUUGGUGGGGUGUGUGAAAGAGAUAAGGUUGAUGACUUAGGGGAUAUAGGAGUGGGAAAGUUAUGAUAUAUAGGCUGGAUCUCC
rnacentral:lncRNA from 1 species